rnacentral:rRNA from 1 species
CUACGUGCCAGCAGCCGCGGUAAUACGUAGGUCCCGAGCGUUGUCCGGAUUUAUUGGGCGUAAAGCGAGCGCAGGCGGUUAGAUAAGUCUGAAGUUAAAGGCUGUGGCUUAACCAUAGUACGCUUUGGAAACUGUUUAACUUGAGUGCAAGAGGGGAGAGUGGAAUUCCAUGUGUAGCGGUGAAAUGCGUAGAUAUAUGGAGGAACACCGGUGGCGAAAGCGGCUCUCUGGCUUGUAACUGACGCUGAGGCUCGAAAGCGUGGGGAGCAAACAGGAUUAGAUACCCUGGUAGUCCACGCCGUAAACGAUGAGUGCUAGGUGUUAGACCCUUUCCGGGGUUUAGUGCCGUAGCUAACGCAUUAAGCACUCCGCCUGGGGAGUACGGCCGCAAGAUUAAAACUCAAAGGAAUUGACGGGGACCCGCACAAGCGGUGGAUGAUGUGGAUUAAUUCGAUGCAACGCGAAGAACCUUACCUGGUCUUGACAU